rnacentral:rRNA from 1 species
GGGUUGUGAGGUUAAGCGACUAAGCGUACACGGUGGAUGCCCUGGCAGUCAGAGGCGAUGAAGGGCGUGCUAAUCUGCGAUAAGCGCCGGUAAGGUGAUAUGAACCGUUAUAACCGGCGAUACCCGAAUGGGGAAACCCAGUGUGACUCGUCACACUAUCAUUAACUGAAUCCAUAGGUUAAUGAGGCGAACCGGGGGAACUGAAACAUCUAAGUACCCCGAGGAAAAGAAAUCAACCGAGAUUCCCCCAGUAGCGGCGAGCGAACGGGGAGGAGCCCAGAGCCUGAAUCAGCAUGUGUGUUAGUGGAAGCGUCUGGAAAGGCGCGCGAUACAGGGUGACAGCCCCGUACACAAAAGCGCAUGUGCUGUGAGCUCGAUGAGUAGGGCGGGACACGUGGUAUCCUGUCUGAAUAUGGGGGGACCAUCCUCCAAGGCUAAAUACUCCUGACUGACCGAUAGUGAACCAGUACCGUGAGGGAAAGGCGAAAAGAACCCCGGCGAGGGGAGUGAAAAAGAACCUGAAACCGUGUACGUACAAGCAGUGGGAGCCCCACCACCAAAGCAUUCUCUGGUGUUGAAGGCCCUGCAAAGCAGCAUCGCGGUGGCGGAGCGUCGUUUGCGACGCCCAACACACAAAACAAGCGGUGAGUGCUUUGGGGUGGGGUGACUGCGUACCUUUUGUAUAAUGGGUCAGCGACUUAUAUUCUGUAGCAAGGUUAACCGUAUAGGGGAGCCGGAGGGAAACCGAGUCUUAAUUGGGCGUUAAGUUGCAGGGUAUAGACCCGAAACCCGGUGAUCUAGCCAUGGGCAGGUUGAAGGUUGGGUAACACUAACUGGAGGACCGAACCGACUAAUGUUGAAAAAUUAGCGGAUGACCUGUGGCUGGGGGUGAAAGGCCAAUCAAACCGGGAGAUAGCUGGUUCUCCCCGAAAGCUAUUUAGGUAGCGCCUCGUGAAUUCAUCUCCGGGGGUAGAGCACUGUUUCGGCUAGGGGGCCAUCCCGGCUUACCAACCCGAUGCAAACUGCGAAUACCGGAGAAUGUUAUCACGGGAGACACACGGCGGGUGCUAACGUCCGUCGUGAAGAGGGAAACAACCCAGACCGCCAGCUAAGGUCCCAAAGUCAUGGUUAAGUGGGAAACGAUGUGGGAAGGCCCAGACAGCCAGGAUGUUGGCUUAGAAGCAGCCAUCAUUUAAAGAAAGCGUAAUAGCUCACUGGUCGAGUCGGCCUGCGCGGAAGAUGUAACGGGGCUAAACCAUGCACCGAAGCUGCGGCAGCGAACGUAUCACCCAAGACAACUUUACGGAGUUGACGAUUGACGGAGCGAAGCGACGUCAAAGCGUUCAUUAAAGUCGAGUUGGCUUAGGGAUACGUUCGUUGGGUAGGGGAGCGUUCUGUAAGCCUGUGAAGGUGGCCUGUGAGGGUUGCUGGAGGUAUCAGAAGUGCGAAUGCUGACAUAAGUAACGAUAAAGCGGGUGAAAAGCCCGCUCGCCGGAAGACCAAGGGUUCCUGUCCAACGUUAAUCGGGGCAGGGUGAGUCGACCCCUAAGGCGAGGCCGAAAGGCGUAGUCGAUGGGAAACGGGUUAAUAUUCCCGUACUUGGUGUUACUGCGAAGGGGGGACGGAGAAGGCUAUGUUGGCCGGGCGACGGUUGUCCCGGUUUAAGCGUGUAGGUGUGUGUUCCAGGUAAAUCCGGUUCACUUUAACACUGAGGCGUGAUGACGAGGCACUACGGUGCUGAAGCAACAAAUGCCCUGCUUCCAGGAAAAGCCUCUAAGCAUCAGGUAACAUCAAAUCGUACCCCAAACCGACACAGGUGGUCAGGUAGAGAAUACCAAGGCGCUUGAGAGAACUCGGGUGAAGGAACUAGGCAAAAUGGUGCCGUAACUUCGGGAGAAGGCACGCUGACACGUAGGUGAAGUGAUUUACUCAUGGAGCUGAAGUCAGUCGAAGAUACCAGCUGGCUGCAACUGUUUAUUAAAAACACAGCACUGUGCAAACACGAAAGUGGACGUAUACGGUGUGACGCCUGCCCGGUGCCGGAAGGUUAAUUGAUGGGGUCAGCGCAAGCGAAGCUCCUGAUCGAAGCCCCGGUAAACGGCGGCCGUAACUAUAACGGUCCUAAGGUAGCGAAAUUCCUUGUCGGGUAAGUUCCGACCUGCACGAAUGGCGUAAUGAUGGCCAGGCUGUCUCCACCCGAGACUCAGUGAAAUUGAACUCGCUGUGAAGAUGCAGUGUACCCGCGGCAAGACGGAAAGACCCCGUGAACCUUUACUAUAGCUUGACACUGAACAUUGAGCCUUGAUGUGUAGGAUAGGUGGGAGGCUUUGAAGUGUGGACGCCAGUCUGCAUGGAGCCGACCUUGAAAUACCACCCUUUAAUGUUUGAUGUUCUAACGUGGACCCGUGAUCCGGGUUGCGGACAGUGUCUGGUGGGUAGUUUGACUGGGGCGGUCUCCUCCUAAAGAGUAACGGAGGAGCACGAAGGUUGGCUAAUCCUGGUCGGACAUCAGGAGGUUAGUGCAAUGGCAUAAGCCAGCUUGACUGCGAGCGUGACGGCGCGAGCAGGUGCGAAAGCAGGUCAUAGUGAUCCGGUGGUUCUGAAUGGAAGGGCCAUCGCUCAACGGAUAAAAGGUACUCCGGGGAUAACAGGCUGAUACCGCCCAAGAGUUCAUAUCGACGGCGGUGUUUGGCACCUCGAUGUCGGCUCAUCACAUCCUGGGGCUGAAGUAGGUCCCAAGGGUAUGGCUGUUCGCCAUUUAAAGUGGUACGCGAGCUGGGUUUAGAACGUCGUGAGACAGUUCGGUCCCUAUCUGCCGUGGGCGCUGGAGAACUGAGGGGGGCUGCUCCUAGUACGAGAGGACCGGAGUGGACGCAUCACUGGUGUUCGGGUUGUCAUGCCAAUGGCACUGCCCGGUAGCUAAAUGCGGAAGAGAUAAGUGCUGAAAGCAUCUAAGCACGAAACUUGCCCCGAGAUGAGUUCUCCCUGAGACUUAAAGUCUCCUGAAGGAACGUUGAAGACGACGACGUUGAUAGGCCGGGUGUGUAAGCGCAGCGAUGCGUUGAGCUAACCGGUACUAAUGAACCGUGAGGCUUAACCUUACAACGCCGAAG